CCCCACAUUUUGGUGCCGGGGCUU
rnacentral:tRNA from 1 species